GCACAAGCGGUGGAUGAUGUGGUUUAAUUCGAUGCAACGCGAAAACCUUACCCACCUUGACAUGUACGGAACCCUUUAGAGAUAGAGGGGUGCUCGAAAGAGAGCCGUAACACAGGUGCUGCAUGGCUGUCGUCAGCUCGUGUCGUGAGAUGUUGGGUUAAGUCCCGCAACGAGCGCAACCCUUAUCAUUAGUUGCUACGCAAGGGCACUCUAAUGAGACUGCCGGUGACAAACCGGAGGAAGGUGGGGAUGACGUCAAGUCCUCAUGGCCCUUAUGGGUAGGGCUUCACACGUCAUACAAUGGUCGGUACAGAGGGUUGCCAAGCCGCGAGGCGGAGCCAAUCCCACAAAGCCGAUCGUAGUCCGGAUUGUUCUCUGCAACUCGAGAGCAUGAAGUCGGAAUCGCUAGUAAUCGCAGGUCAGCAUACUGCGGUGAAUACGUUCCCGGGUCUU
rnacentral:rRNA from 1 species